GGGAGUGUGGCUCAGUGGUAGAGUGCUUGCUUAGCAUGCAUGAGGCGCUGGGUUGGAGCCUCAGCACCA
rnacentral:tRNA from 1 species